GCAGCCGCGGUAAUACGUAGGUGGCGAGCGUUGUCCGGAUUUACUGGGUGUAAAGGGCGUGUAGGCGGGGAAUCAAGUCAGAUGUGAAAUGCCGUGGCUUAACCACGGAGCUGCAUUUGAAACUGAUACUCUUGAGUGAUGGAGAGGUAAGCGGAAUUCCUAGUGUAGCGGUAAAAUGCGUAGAUAUUAGGAGGAACACCGGUGGCGAAGGCGGCUUACUGGACAUUAACUGACGCUGAGGCGCGAAAGCGUGGGGAGCAAACAGGAUUAGAUACCCC
rnacentral:rRNA from 1 species